rnacentral:rRNA from 1 species
CAAGCGUUGUUCGGAAUUACUGGGCGUAAAGGGCUCGUAGGCGGCCAACUAAGUCAGACGUGAAAUCCCUCGGCUUAACCGGGGAACUGCAUCUGAUACUGGAUGGCUUGAGUUCGGGAGAGGGAUGCGGAAUUCCAGGUGUAGCGGUGAAAUGCGUAGAUAUCUGGAGGAACACCGGUGGCGAAGGCGGCAUCCUGGACCGACACUGACGCUGAGGAGCGAAAGCCAGGGGAGCAAACGGG